AUGUUGGAAUCUUUAGGGAGGUGUGUGUGUGUGUGUGUGUGUGUGUGUGUGUGUGUCACAAAAGUAGAAUCGAAAAACAGAAGAUCUACCUUUUUUUUUUUUAAUCUGGAUAGUUUUGGGCAAGCUACAACUUCUGUGAGCCUCAGUUGUCUCAUUUUUCAAAUUGUAAUGCUAGAACCUUUCCAAAGCAUAAGCUUGUUGUAAGGAGCCAAUAACAUAAAAUCAGUGACAAGACUUUUUAAACUAUAAAACGUACACAUGUUAAUAGUUACUAUUCAAAGUUCUCCAACAGGCAAAGGCAAUUCUUGAUUCCAGAAGUUAUGGUCUGAUUUACUUUCAGAACAAAUGGAAAUUGGGUAUGGAAGGAAACCUUCCUGUAAGAAAUACAGAAUAUAGCUUUGCCCUGACUUUCUCAUCUUCCUUAGCAAAAUGUGCAAAUUUUCCUAACUGACCACAUGUUUAGAGAUUAGGACAAGAGAGAAUAUAGUUCUUUUCGUACUGUUUUAAUAUUGAAUAAGCCGUAUUUAUGGUACCUAGCUUUAGGGAAAAGAAAAAAAAAAGAGCAAGAGAGAAAUGGUAUAUCUGCCCACCACCACCUGCUAUUUUUAGGUUGGAUAGGAAGCCCUGUUUGGCUGCCUUUGCCCAUCUCAUUUGGCAACUCUUGAGCCUGCAUCAUUCAGAGAGAUAUAAGAAGCUUAAAAGGUAGAAAACUGAAUUUCUUUGAUUUUCCAGACGUCAUUGCUGAAAAAACAUUAUCACCACAAAGCAGUUUGAAGGACAUUAGCUACACUCAUACCUGCUUCAUAACUGCAGCUGGCUGUAAACCUGAACACUGAUGCUUGACCUAUUGUAAGUCAGAAAGUUAUAUGUGGAUAAAAGCGGCUUUGCAUUUUAACCUCUUUCCUAUCUUUACUUAAAAAAAAAAAAAGAAAUUUAACUCAUAAAUGGGUAGAGGCAUAAAAGCCUUUUUGUGUCUGUAAGCAAAUGUCUGACCUUGUUCUGAAUUGAUAAACUACAUAGGCCUAGCUUUACUACUUCAAACUCCCAGAAUUCCUGUAGUGGUGCUGGUGGAUAGUCAAUAAAUCAUUGCUAUUGUUGUUGAUGAUGAAUAUAGGUAAUAAAAGAGUGUGGAGAUGCAUUUUUUCCUGUUGUGGCUUGAUAUAAAAAAAUUUCCUUUUCAAACCAUUGUAAGGAGAUAUCUGUUAUUUGUAAGUCUAACCACAGUGGGUCAUUUAUGCAUCCUCUUAUAAUUUAAUCUGGAUACAAUAGUUUUAUGUUCACGUGGAAACAAAUCAGAGAGAAGUGAUAAGACUGCAUUUGGAAUUACUGGCAACUUUAAAUGUUAAAAAAAAUGUAGUCACAAAGGCAAGAGAACAAAAGGCCUCCUCCUGGCUGAUUAGAUGAUUUAACCAGCAGUUGGUGCUGGCACCUAAAAGCCAGCCAGACUGUUUAAAAAAAAAAAAAAAAAAAAAA